rnacentral:lncRNA from 1 species
CGUUGAAAGCUGCGAUCGAGCAGCCAUUUGCCAGCGACGGCACAUUCUUCUACCGUGGUUGAUGUUUCUCACUGCUUUGAACCCCCAAGACUCCACGGACUGCGGCUGCGGUCGUUUCAUUGCCAACUGUGAGGAUGAAGCAGCUUCAUGGCCGGAGAUCGGGUGCCUCCCAUCAGUUUCCCUUUUCAGCAAUAGAGGCCUUGGAGGCCUUUCUACCUGCGUUGCAUCCUGUGGCUGGACCACUCCAACGAUCUCGGCG